rnacentral:rRNA from 1 species
GAACGCGAAAGUGGAGCAAUCCAUGAGUAGAGUGGCAAACGGGUGAGUAACACGUGGGUGACCUGCCUUCGAGCGGGGGAUAACGUCCCGAAAGGGACGCUAAUACCGCAUAACAUCCUGCCUUUUAAGAGGUGGAGAUCAAAGCCGGGGAUCGCAAGACCUGGCACUUGAAGAGGGGCCCGCGCCUGAUUAGCUAGUUGGUGGGGUAAUGGCCUACCAAGGCAACGAUCAGUAUCCGGCCUGAGAGGGCGGACGGACACACUGGGACUGAGACACGGCCCAGACUCCUACGGGAGGCAGCAGUGGGGAAUUGUUCGCAAUGGGCGCAAGCCUGACGACGCAACGCCGCGUGGAGGAUGAAGAUCUUCGGGUCGUAAACUCCUUUCGAUCGAGACGAAUGUUUUCCGGGUGAACAAUCUGGAAAAGUGACGGUACCGAGAGAAGAAGCCCCGGCUAACUCUGUGCCAGCAGCCGCGGUAAUACAGGGGGGGCAAGCGUUGUUCGGAAUUACUGGGCGUAAAGGGCUCGUAGGUGGCCAACUAAGUCAGACGUGAAAUCCCUCAGCUUAACUGGGGAACUGCGUCUGAUACUGGAUGGCUUGAGUUUGGGAGAGGGAUGCGGAAUUCCAGGUGUAGCGGUGAAAUGCGUAGAUAUCUGGAGGAACACCGGUGGCGAAGGCGGCAUCCUGGACCAACACUGACACUGAGGAGCGAAAGCCAGGGGAGCAAACGGGAUUAGAUACCCCGGUAGUCCUGGCCCUAAACGAUGAAUGCUUGGUGUGGCGGGUAUCGAUCCCUGCCGUGCCGAAGCUAACGCAUUAAGCAUUCCGCCUGGGGAGUACGGUCGCAAGGCUGAAACUCAAAGAAUUGACGGGGGCCCGCACAAGCGGUGGAGCAUGUGGUUCAAUUC